rnacentral:sRNA from 2 species
ACCCAGCCAACGACGAACAACUUUGGACGGAGGCGGGGGACCCACCGGUCCACCGAACGGAAGGACCUGGAGCCGGAUUUUCGGCUCCUUGGGGUGAAGCCGGCAUCGUUUCGACGCCGCCGGCCGGGCAACCUCUCCAGCCCGAACCCGACAGCUGACCUCGCGGGCGCCGAAGAGAGGACAU